GAUGAACGCUGGCGGCGUGCUUAACACAUGCAAGUCGAACGGUGAAGCAGGAGCUUGCUCUUGUGGAUCAGUGGCGAACGGGUGAGUAACACGUGAGCAACCUGCCCCUGACUCUGGGAUAAGCGCUGGAAACGGCGUCUAAUACUGGAUAUGUGAUGUGACCGCAGGGUCUGCAGCUGGAAAGAAUUUCGGUUGGGGAUGGGCUCGCGGCCUAUCAGCUUGUUGGCGAGGUAAUGGCUCACCAAGGCGUCGACGGGUAGCCGGCCUGAGAGGGUGACCGGCCACACUGGGACUGAGACACGGCCCAGACUCCUACGGGAGGCAGCAGUGGGGAAUAUUGCACAAUGGGCGGAAGCCUGAUGCAGCAACGCCGCGUGAGGGAUGACGGCCUUCGGGUUGUAAACCUCUUUUAGCAGGGAAGAAGCGAAAGUGACGGUACCUGCAGAAAAAGCACCGGCUAACCACGUGCCAGCCGCCGCCGUAA
rnacentral:rRNA from 1 species